GAAGGAUUAUCAUUGGAAGAAAUCAAAAAAUGAUUUCGUGAACGAUGAUGCUCGCCAAGAUUAUGAAAAACUGAAGGCUGAUUUUGAGUUACGAACUCAGCAAACAUCCACUGAUGCUUCUAAUAAUGAUAGUCCGUCAUCAGUUGAUCAGGAGGAGGUGCUACAAAAAGUAUUAGGCCAAAGGCGUGGACAUGAGCGAGGAGUGGGCCGCAAAUUGAAGGGGUUGGGGUCGGGGUCGAGGUCAUCAUCUACCCAACACUCUCACUUCAGCGAGUCUCAAGUUCCUCCUCAUCAUUCAAGAGAAUAUAUAGAAAAUCUGGAGAAUAAUUUACAGAAAUUGACUGAUCAAGUUAAUUUCUUAACUCAAUAUUUUGUACCUUCAUUUCGUCCACCAAACGUUUAGAUGCCGCAUGUGCCUGAUAGUGACAAUACUUCUAGGGCUUCGUCUUCUCAACCUCCAGCUCCAACUCAUCCUUCUAUGUACGGGGCAGCGCCGUCUUAUCAUAUGGUACCUCCAUAUAUGUAUGGAGCAACACCUUAUCCGUGUCCGAUUCCACCGUCCUCCCAGCCAUCGUAUCCCUACAUGUAUGGAGCUGGAUCGUCCACAUUACCUCCCCAAUAUCCUUGGCCGAUGCCGCCACCGCAGAAAUUACAACCACAGCCACCGCAACAACCACAACAAGAAGACAAUAGGGAGGAGGACGAGGCAACUGACUUAUGAGACUAAGUUUAUAUUUUUAUUAAUUAUUGUUAAAUUUUAUGAAUAUUUGUUAUGUUAAUGUAUUAUGAAUAUUUACAAUUGUUAUUUUAAUAUACUAAUUUGAAUA